AAAAGUCGUAUUUUUCGUGUUUUCUAUUUUAGUCUCGGAUCAAAUAUGAGAAAUGGAAAAACGGCCGCUGGACCGAAUUUGAUUUUAAUUUUUCAUCAUUUGGGAUUACGUGACCCGGAAGUUGAGUAGAAAAGUGCGGGUAAUCUGGUGACAUCGACAACAUGGCAGCACUAGAAUCACACACUAAUUUGAUUACGAGUUUAUUCAACACCGGUUUGACACACACACAAAUCGCCUACACGCUGCAGCAGAUGAACAUCCUACCGUGCUCAGAAAUGAGCGUCAGAAGAUUCUAAGCUCGGCAUGAGCUAAAGAGAAAAAGACAAGUGUCGGACCAGGCAUUAGAGCGAGCUGUGGCUGGAUCGAUAUACGAAACUGGACCCUCAUAUGGCCGUAAAGUUCAUGACUGGCUAUCUGUCAUAAUGGGGCUGCAUGCAGGAGAAGUUCGGGUUGGAAGAAUCCUAACGGAGCUCCAUCAGCCAUUCCAUGAAUUCCGGCGUGAGGGUGCUCGAAAUUUGAAUCCAGUUCCCUAUCAUGCCAAAUAUAUGGGUCAUAAACUACAUCUGGACCAAAAUGAAAAGCUGGUGAUGUUUGGUGUGACGCACGUGUUGGCCGUUGAUGGCUACAGCAGCAAGAUUGUUGCACAUUCUGCCAUGCCAGUGAAAAACAACCUUGUC